rnacentral:rRNA from 1 species
AGAGUUUGAUCCUGGCUCAGAACGAACGCUGGCGGCGUGUCUUAGGUUAUGCAAGUCGAACGAUCCGAUUCCAGACCUAAUCUUCGGAAAAGGUCAGGAAGAAGGAGAGUGGCGAACGGGUGAGUAACACGUGGGUAACCUACCCAUCGGUGGGGAAUAACAUCCCGAAAGGGGUGCUAAUACCGCAUAAUGUCUCGGGUGUGCAAACUCCUGAGAUGAAAGGUGGCCUCUGUUUCAUGCUGCCGCCGAAGGAUGGGCCCGCGGCCUAUUAGCUUGUUGGUGGGGUAAUUGCCUACCAAGGCUACGAUAGGUAGGCGGCCUGAGAGGGUGGCCGCCCUCACUGGGACUGAGACAAGGCCCAGUCCCCUACGGGAGGCGCAGCCAAGAAUCUUGCGCAAUGGGCGAAAGCCUGACGCAGCGACGCCGCGUGGGUGAUGAAGGCUUGCGAGUCGUAAGGCCCUGUUGGAUGGGAGGAAAAUGUACCGAGGUGAAUAGCCUCGGUGUCUGACAGUACCAUCCCAGAAAGCCCCGGCUAACUCCGUGCCAGCAGCCGCGGUAAUACGGAGGGGGCAAGCGUUGUUCGGAUUUACUGGGCAUAAAGGGCACGCAGGCGGUUUGGUAAGUCGGGUGUGAAAUCCCUUGGCUCAACUGAGGAAGUGCGCCCGAUACUGCCAUACUUGAGUUCGGGAGAGGAGAGUGGAAUGACCGGUGUAGGGGUGAAAUCCGUAGAUAUCGGUCGGAACACCAGUGGCGAAGGCGACUCUCUGGCCCAGAACUGACGCUCAUGUGCGAAAGCCAGGGUAGCGAACGGGAUUAGAGACCCCGGUAGUCCUGGCCGUAAACGUUGGGCACUAGGUGUAGGGGGUAUUCAACGCUCUCUGUGCCGAAGUUAACGCGAUAAGUGCCCCGCCUGGGGACUACGGUCGCAAGGCUGAAACUCAAAGGAAUUGACGGGGGCCCGCACAAGCGGUGGAGCAUGUGGUUUAAUUCGAUCAACGCGAAAAACCUUACCAGGGCUUGACAGCCAUCUGACACCGAUGUGAAAGCAUCGCUCCUCUUCCCGAGGCAGGUGGAACAGGUGCUGCAUGGCUGUCGUCAGCUCGUGUCGUGAGAUGUUGGGUUAAGUCCCGCAACGAGCGCAACCCUUAUCUCUAGUUGCCAGCGGGUUAUGCCGGGGACUCUAGAGAAACUGCCGGUGACAAACCGGAGGAAGGUGGGGACGACGUCAAGUCAUCAUGCCCCUUACGCCCUGGGCUACACACGUGCUACAAUGGUCGGUACAAAGGGAUGCAAUGUCGCGAGGCGGAGCAGAUCCCCUAAAGCUGGCCUCAGUUCGGAUUGUAGGCUGCAAUUCGCCUGCAUGAAGUCGGAAUCGCUAGUAAUCGCGGAUCAGCAUGCCGCGGUGAAUACGUUCUCGGGCCUUGUACACACCGCCCGUCACGUCAUCCGAGUCGAGUGUACCCGAAGUCACUGACCCGACUCAUUUCGGUGAGAGGGAGGUGCCGAAGGUAUGUUUGGCGAGGGGGACGAAGUCGUAACAAGGUA